rnacentral:rRNA from 1 species
GACGAACGCUGGCGGCGUGCUUAACACAUGCAAGUCGAGCGGUAAGGCCCUUUCGGGGGUACGACGAGCGGCGAACGGGUGAGUAACACGUGGGUGACCUGCCUUUAGUCUCUGGGAGUAAGCCUCGGGAAACCGGGGUACUAAUACCGGAGUAUGACUCCGCGGCGCAUGUUGUGGGGUGGAAAGCCUUGUGCGGCUGGAGAUGGGCCCGCGGCCUAUCAGCUUGUUGGUGGGGUGAUGGCCUACCAAGGCGACGACGGGUAGCCGGCCUGAGAGGGCGACCGGCCACACUGGGACUGAGACACGGCCCAGACUCCUACGGGAGGGCAGCAGUGGGGAAGUCUUGCGCAAUGGGCGAAAGCCUGACGCAGCGACGCCGCGUGAGGGAUGACGGCCU